rnacentral:rRNA from 2 species
UUCGCAAUGCCCGAAAGGGUGACGAAGCGACGCCGCGUGCGGGAAGAAGGCCUUCGGGUUGUAAACCGCUGUCGGGAGUUAAGAAAUGCAGAGAUGUUAAUAGCGUCUUUGCUUGACUAAGGCUCCGGAGGAAGCCACGGCUAACUCUGUGCCAGCAGCCGCGGUAAUACAGAGGCGGCAAGCGUUGUUCGGAAUUAUUGGGCGUAAAGAGCACGUAGGCGGCUAUGUAAGUCGGUUGUGAAAGCCUUCCGCUCAACGGGAGAACAGCAUCCGAUACUGCAUGGCUUGAGUGCGGGAGGGGAGAGUGGAACUUCUGGUGGAGCGGUGAAAUGCGUAGAUAUCAGAAGGAACGCCGGCGGCGAAAGCGGCUCUCUGGCCCAUAACUGACGCUGAGUGUGCGAAAGCUAGGGGAGCAAACGGGAUUAGAUACCCCGGUAGUCCUAGCCGUAAACGAUGGGCACUAAGUAGAGGGGUUUU